UACAGAGGGUGCGAGCGUUGUUCGGAAUUACUGGGCGUAAAGCGCGUGUAGGCGGUUCAUUAAGUCAGAUGUGAAAUCCCGGGGCCUAACUCCGGAAGUGCAUUUGAAACUGAUGAGCUGGAGUGAUGUAGAGGAUGGCGGAAUACCCAGUGUAGUGGUGAAAUACGUAGAGAUUGGGUAGAACACCGGUGGCGAAGGCGGCCCGCUGGGCAGUGGCUGACGCUGAGGCGCGACAGCGUGGGGAGCAAACAGG
rnacentral:rRNA from 1 species